rnacentral:rRNA from 1 species
UACGUAGGGGGCAAGCGUUAUCCGGAUUUACUAGGUGUAAAGGGGGCGCAGACGGCGAUGCAAGCCAGGAGUGAAAGCCCGGGGCCCAACCCCGGGACUGCUCUUGGAACUGCGUGGCUGGAGUGCAGGAGGGGCAGGCGGAAUUCCUGGUGUAGCGGUGAAAUGCGUAGAUAUCAGGAGGAACACCGGUGGCGAAGGCGGCCUGCUGGACUGCAACUGACACUGAGGCUCGAAAGCGUGGGGAGCAAACAGG